rnacentral:rRNA from 1 species
CCUACGGGAGGCCGCAGUGAGGAAUAUUGGUCAAUGGACGAGAGUCUGAACCAGCCAAGUAGCGUGAAGGAUGACUGCCCUCUGGGUUGUAAACUUCUUUUAUAUGGGAAUAAAACGUUCCACGUGUGGGAUUUUGUAUGUACCAUAUGAAUAAGGAUCGGCUAACUCCGUGCCAGCAGCCGAGGUAAUACGGAGGAUCCGAGCGUUAUCCGGAUUUAUUGGGUUUAAAGGGAGCGUAGGUGGAUUGUUAAGUCAGUUGUGAAAGUUUGCGGCUCAACCGUAAAAUUGCAGUUGAAACUGGCAGUCUUGAGUACAGUAGAGGUGGGCGGAAUUCGUGGUGUAGCGGUGAAAUGCUUAGAUAUCACGAAGAACUCCGAUUGCGAAGGCAGUUCACUGGACUGCAACUGACACUGAGGCUCGAAAGUGUGGGUAUCAAACAGGAUUAGAUACCCUGGUAGUC